rnacentral:rRNA from 1 species
UUUUGCCUACGGGGCGCAGCAGUGGGGAAUAUUGCACAAUGGGGGAAACCCUGAUGCAGCGACGCCGCGUGAGUGAAGAAGUAUUUCGGUAUGUAAAGCUCUAUCAGCAGGGAAGAAGAAAGACGGUACCUGACUAAGAAGCCCCGGCUAACUACGUGCCAGCAGCCGCGGUAAUACGUAGGGGGCAAGCGUUAUCCGGAUUUACUGGGUGUAAAGGGAGCGUAGACGGCUGUGCAAGUCAGCGGUAAAAAUGCGGUGCUCAACGCCGUACAGCCGUUGAAACUGGCAGUCUUGAGUGGGCGAGG